GCAAUUACUUGUGACUGAAAAAUGCAGAAGAAAAGUUUCAUGGAAACAACCUACCACCAAAAUGAAACACCUUUCAAACGCUUAUUGGUUCAAUAAAUGAGAGAGAAUUCAUGCAAAAAUGUAAGUCUGUGAAAAGGUUGACUUGGAAUUAUGCUUAUGAUUGGUGGAGAGAUUCAUAUCCAUGAUGUCAUAGUCAUUUGACCCUGUUGCCAUUCCUCGGCUGGAGGAACUAGAGCAAGAGAGCAUGCUUGCACCUCACUCGUGCAGGACCUGCUUCCUCCACCCAGUGAUGUAUGGAGCAGCCUUCAACUCCAGGAGAAGAAGGGUGUGAGAUUGGAAGCUAUAGACAUAGUUGUUGGCUGUUGAUCAGAUUAGUUUAAAAAUGAAGAAGACCUGAGCUAAUAUGAAGAUGAAAAUUGAGCGGUAAGACAAUAUUUGUAAAUUACUUUUCUGGAAAAUUACAAUAAACUAAAGGAUACAUUGGACAGAGGAGGGCAGUUAGGGAAGAAUCAACAAGGCUGGAGGUGUCUAAUUUGAGUGACUGGGCAGUUGACGGAGCCAUUAACUAGUUGGAAAAGGAGUUCUUUUGCUGGGUCAGUGGAGUUUCCUUUCAGAAUUGUGACUUAAAGUUGUUUUUGAAUAGCCAAACGAAGUUGCUUUUGGACAUAAGUGUCUAUGUUUAAGAGAGGUAGAGGCAAGUGACUUGAGAAUCUUGGCUAUUGUGUAAUAGUGAA
rnacentral:lncRNA from 1 species